CCUACGGGUGGCAGCAGUGGGGAAUAUUGGGCAAUGGGCGCAAGCCUGACCCAGCAACGCCGCGUGAAGGAAGAAGGCUUUCGGGUUGUUAACUUCUUUUGUUAGGGACGAAGCAAGUGACGGUACCUGACGUAUAAGCCACGGCUAACUACGUGCCAGCAGCCGCGGUAAUACGUAGGUGGCAAGCGUUAUCCGGAUUUAUUGGGUGUAAAGGGCGUGUAGGCGGGAAGGCAAGUCAGAUGUGAAAACUAUGGGCUCAACCCAUAGCCUGCAUUUGAAACUGUAUUUCUUGAGUGCUGGAGAGGCAAUCGGAAUUCGGUGUGUAGCGGUGAAAUGCGUAGAUAUAAGGAAGAACACCAAUGGCGAAGGCGGAUUGCUGGACAGUAACUGACGCUGAGGCGCGAAAGCGUGGGGAGCAAACAGGAUUAGAUACCCUAGUAGUC
rnacentral:rRNA from 1 species